rnacentral:rRNA from 1 species
CCUACGGGCGGCAGCAGUGAGGAAUAUUGGUCAAUGGGCGCGAGCCUGAACCAGCCAAGUCGCGUGAGGGAAGACGGUCCUAUGGAUUGUAAACCUCUUUUGUCGGGGAGCAAAAGACGCCACGCGUGGCGUUCUGAGAGUACCCGAAGAAAAAGCAUCGGCUAACUCCGUGCCAGCAGCCGCGGUAAUACGGAGGAUGCGAGCGUUAUCCGGUUGUAUUGGGUUUAAAGGGUGCGCAGGCGGAAGGUCAAGUCAGCGGUAAAAUUGAGAGGCUCAACCUCUUCGAGCCGUUGAAACUGGAUUUCUUGAGUGAGCGAGAAGUAUGCGGAAUGCGUGGUGUAGCGGUGAAAUGCAUAGAUAUCACGCAGAACUCCGAUUGCGAAGGCAGCAUACCGGCGCUCAAAUGACGCUGAUGCACGAAAGUGUGGGUAUCGAACAGGAUUAGAUACCCCGGUAGUC